GAUGAACGCUGGCGGCGUGCUUAACACAUGCAAGUCGAACGAAGCACUUUAACUUGAUUCUUCGGAUGAAGGUUUUUGUGACUGAGUGGCGGACGGGUGAGUAACGCGUGGGUAACCUGCCUCAUACAGGGGGAUAACAGUUAGAAAUGACUGCUAAUACCGCAUAAGACCACGGAGCCGCAUGGCUCAGUGGGAAAAACUCCGGUGGUAUGAGAUGGACCCGCGUCUGAUUAGGUAGUUGGUGGGGUAACGGCCUACCAAGCCAACGAUCAGUAGCCGACCUGAGAGGGUGACCGGCCACAUUGGGACUGAGACACGGCCCAAACUCCUACGGGAGGCAGCAGUGGGGAAUAUUGCACAAUGGGGGAAACCCUGGUGCAGCGACGCCGCGUGAGCGAAGAAGUAUUUCGGUAUGUAAAGCUCUAUCAGCAGGGAAGAAAAUGACGGUACCUGACUAAGAAGCACCGGCUAAAUACGUGCCAGCCGCCGCCGUAA
rnacentral:rRNA from 1 species